rnacentral:tRNA from 1 species
UGUAGACAUAGUUUAACGCAAAACAUUAGAUUGUGGUUCUAAAGACAGGGGUUAAACUCCCCUUGCCCA